rnacentral:misc_RNA from 1 species
GUCUCCAAUGGAAAUCUGGAAAUCUGGAAAUCACUGAAGUUCAAAUACAACUCAGAAAAACAAGGUGUGGAUAAAUUUCUCAUCAUGAAAUAUUUUGAAUUCCAAAUGGUUGAUAAUAUAUCUGUUAUGGAUCAAGUCCAUGAGUUACAUGUCCUGGUUUCAAAACUUAAAGAUUUGAAAGUGAUAGUUCCUGAAUCAUUGCAAGUAGGAGGAAUAAUAGCAAAACUUUCUCCUAGUUGGAAAGAUUAUAGGAAGAAAUUACUGCAUAUCACAGAAGAUUUUUCUCUCGAACAGAUUCAGAAAUACUUGCGCAUUGAAGAAGAGACAAGAAAUCGUGAUAAGAAAUUUGUUUCUGAAUCUACUACAAAAGUUAAUUUUGUGCAAGGAAGUCAGAAUUUUCAAAAGAAAAAUUCUGGAAGUAAGAGAAAGUUUUCUGAAGCAGCAGGCAACAGUACUAGUUAUGGCAGCAACAACAAAUCAAAGAAAGGAAGAACUUGUUACAAUUGUGGCAAGAAAGGGCACUACAAACGUGAAUGCAGGUUUCUAAAGAAACAUAAGAAAGAAGAUAUGAAUAAUAGUGCUCAGAAUUCCAAUAAAGCAAAUAUAGUUGAACAAACUACUGAAUUGAUUGCAAUGAUAUCAGAUUUGCAUAUUGGAAUGGUAACAGAACUCAAUAUGGCUACAACAACCAAAUCCAAUGAUUGGUGGUAUGAUUCUGGAGCUACUGUUCAUGUUUGCAAUGAUAAGACUCAAUUUAAAAAUUAUGAAGAAGUUGUAAAUGGGCAGAAAGUUCUAAUGGGCAAUCAUGAUUCCGCUAAAGUGGUGGGAAAAGGAAGUGUUGAAUUAAACUUCACUUCUGGAAAGAAGCUAUUAUUAGUAAAUGUGUUGUAUGUGCCAGAAAUAAGGAAAAAUCUUGUGUCUGCUAGUCUGUUGUGUAAGAAAGGUUAUAAGGCUGUUCUGGAGUCCGAUAAAAUAAUUGUGUCCAUAAAUGGACUAUUUGUGGGAAAAGGUUACUCAUGUGAUGGAAUGUUUAAACUCAGUAUUAAUAAUAAUAUGAAUAUUUCUGUUUAUACUGUUGAGUCAUCUUUAUCUUUAUGGCAUGAUCGUUUAGCACAUAUUAGUUUUAGAUCUUUAAAAUUUAUGGCUAAACAUAGUUUAAUUUCAUAUAUAGAUGACAAUAAAAAAAUCUUGUAAAA